CUCCUACGGGAGGCAGCAGUGGGGAAUAUUGGACAAAGGGCGAAAGCCUGAUCCAGCCAUGCCGCGUGUGUGAAGAAGGUCUUCGGAUUGUAAAGCACUUUAAGUUGGGAGGAAGGGUUGUAGAUUAAUACUCUGCAAUUUUGACGUUACCGACAGAAUAAGCACCGGCUAACUCUGUGCCAGCAGCCGCGGUAAUACAGAGGGUGCGAGCGUUAAUCGGAAUUACUGGGCGUAAAGCGAGUGUAGGUGGCUCAUUAAGUCACAUGUGAAAUCCCCGGGCUUAACCUGGGAACUGCACGUGAUACUGGUGGUGCUAGAAUAUGUGAGAGGGAAGUAGAAUUCCAGGUGUAGCGGUGAAAUGCGUAGAGAUCUGGAGGAAUACCGAUGGCGAAGGCAGCUUCCUGGCAUAAUAUUGACACUGAGAUUCGAAAGCGUGGGUAGCAAACAGGAUUAGAUACCCUGGUAGUCCACGCCGUAAACGAUGUCUACUAGCCGUUGGGGUCCUUGAGACUUUAGUGGCGCAGUUAACGCGAUAAGUAGACCGCCUGGGGAGUACGGCCGCAAGGUUAAAACUCAAAUGAAUUGACGGGGGCCCGCACAAGCGGUGGAGCAUGUGGUUUAAUUCGAUGCAACGCGAAGAACCUUACCUGGUCUUGACAUAGUGAGAAUCCUGCAGAGAUGCGGGAGUGCCUUCGGGAAUUCACAUACAGGUGCUGCAUGGCUGUCGUCAGCUCGUGUCGUGAGAUGUUGGGUUAAGUCCCGCAACGAGCGCAGCCCUUUUCCUUAUUUGCCAGCGGGUUAAGCCGGGAACUUUAAGGAUACUGCCAGUGACAAACUGGAGGAAGGCGGGGACGACGUCAAGUCAUCAUGGCCCUUACGACCAGGGCUACACACGUGCUACAAUGGUAGGUACAGAGGGUUGCUACACAGCGAUGUGAUGCUAAUCUCAAAAAGCCUAUCGUAGUCCGGAUUGGAGUCUGCAACUCGACUCCAUGAAGUCGGAAUCGCUAGUAAUCGCAGAUCAGAAUGCUGCGGUGAAUACGUUCCCGGGCCUUGUACACACCGCCCGU
rnacentral:rRNA from 1 species